AUCUGUGCAAGGUGUGGUUAACCAAUGCCUAUUACUACGCGAACAAGUUUGACUAUUCCUACGCAGUUACAAUUGCGUAGAAGAAACAUGUGUUUCGUAGUCAUCUAUUCGUAACAUAAAAACAUCGACUUUUACAUAGGUACAGAGCGUCUCACAACGGGUAUAAUAAUGGGUAGCCGCGUGAUCGUGGGCGGACCCAGACAGAAAUCGAAGGUUGUUCACCCCUACCAGUUCCUUUUGACCGACAGAGCGUCCAUCACGCGAACGCGACACAUCCCCACCAAGAUGCGGGAUCCCCUCCAUGUGCCGUCACAAAAUCACUCCCGCUCCCGGCUCCUUCCUCCACCGCCAGGGAAAUCGCGAGAGGAGGGGUUGACGCGGCCCUCACGGCACUCAAUCGCGGUUUACCGGUGGCCACGCGCUUCGUCUAACGGUAUAACAUAGUACCGCUUCGGAAAUAAGGUCACGGAAAUUCACACGUUGUAAAUAAACAUAAAUAUUUCUAACGUA